rnacentral:pre_miRNA from 14 species
UCUUCAGAGUCUGGGGUGGUCGAGAAGAUCCCGGACGAGCCCCCAAAAUGAACGAUCCCACGCAGAGAGACCCUUUCUAAAGUCGCGGGAAAUCGCGGACCCCAGACACAGAGAGACCA